AGAGUUUGAUUCUGGCUCAGGAUGAACGCUAGCGGCAGGCUUAACACAUGCAAGUCGAGGGGCAGCAGGGAGUAGCAAUACUCCGCUGGCGACCGGCGCACGGGUGCGUAACGCGUAUGCAACCUGCCUGUAACAGGGGGAUAACCCGGAGAAAUUUGGACUAAUACCGCAUAUUGCCGUAGAUCAGCAUUGGUUUUCGGCGAAAGGAGCGAUCCGGUUACAGAUGGGCAUGCGUGACAUUAGGUAGUUGGCGGGGCAACGGCCCACCAAGCCGACGAUGUCUAGGGGAACUGAGAGGUUAGUCCCCCACACUGGUACUGAGACACGGACCAGACUCCUACGGGAGGCAGCAGUGAGGAAUAUUGGUCAAUGGACGGAAGUCUGAACCAGCCAUGCCGCGUGCGGGAGGAAGGCCCUACGGGUUGUAAACCGCUUUUACGGGGGAGCAAUAAGCGCCGUGCGCGGCGUGAUGAGAGUACCCCGGGAAUAAGCAUCGGCUAACUCCGUGCCAGCCGCGGC
rnacentral:rRNA from 1 species